GAAGGAGGAAAAGGGCGAAAGGAAAUAUUCAAGACAUUGUUGCCUUGGGCUUCCUUUGAGGAUGGCUGGCUGCAGCUCCAGGCUGGACAGAGUCCCAGAAGCAACGGCUCACCCUUGCUUUCCUUCAAUUUAAAACAUUAAGGAAAUGCAAGUCACCAUGGAGACUCAGCUCUCUCACGGAGGAGCUCAUGGAGGCUCAGCUGUCUCAUGAAGGCUGCUCAAGAGGACAGACUGCACUUCUGAAGGAACAGGUUAUUUGUGCAUGCAAUGAAAAGCACUGUAGGAGGACCUGUGCGGCAGUUUGGUGAUGAAUUCCUGACGGCCCGGCAGCUCAGACUUGAAACCAGCCCACUGGAUUUCUCUGCAUUUAGCCAGGACCAGCCCAGAAUGUGUGCCUGUGGGUGCUCAGCUGGAUACAUGAAACAAAGAGGCCUUUAGCUGAAUUGGACAGAUUCCUCUGGAUUGGCAGAUCCCGUUGUGAUUAAGACCUCGCUCCCAGCUUGCUGAUCCUUCCCAAACUGACAACAAGCAAAUCAAAGAGCAAAACCCGAGGUCAUCUGAAUUCUUUGCUCCCCUGGUUUUUGCUCGCUCUGUCCGGAGCCAAGAGCCGGGACUGCGUGCACGGUUCGGUUCCCCUUAGUUCUCACUGGAAGCAGGAUUGCUGCUGCUGCCACUGCACAGCGCACGCCUGCGCGCCACGCCGUGUGCCCUGGACUCGUUUCAAGGGUGGGAAACUGAGGCACAUAGCCAGGGAGGGGUGGGCCUGGAAUGCACACCCAGGCAACGUGGCCCUGAAGCUCCUAAUGCGGCUCAACUCUGUUAGCGCCGGUCCUCCAGUGCUAAUAUCCCCCCAUUUGCUACUGACUGCUGCUCUUCCCCACAAGUGUGGCAAAGCCUAGGAAUGCGCAGUGCGCGGUGCUGGGCGUGGGAACAGGCGCUGUCUCUGCUGGCCGGAAGAUGAGUCCCCCUAACCAAGCGGAGGGUGCUCUGCCCGCAGCCUCGGACUCUCAGAGUCUGGCUGCACCCGGUGCACCUGCCCCGCUGCCCUCGCCCCAGGGCUGGUCUCUCCUCACAUCUCCCGGCUUCCAUUCUUGUCCCCCAAAGUCCAUUCAUAGCCCUCAUUCAGAGUAAGCAUCUUUUUUUUUUUAAAUCAUUUUAUUGGUACGUUUUAGGUAUACCAUAGGUAU